rnacentral:lncRNA from 1 species
GAUAAAACAAGAAAGAGAAAGAAGCAUAAGAAACAUGGUAAAAAGAAGAAAAAGAAGAUUGCUGGUUCAAAUUCAGAUUCAGAAUAAUAUUAAAAAAGCAAGACUAUCCUUUCAACAAAAGUGCAAUGACUAAAGGAAACUUAAACUGUGAAAUGAUGGCAAACUUUACCAAACUGCAUGAGUUUUCCUGUGUUUUAGAAAUAUUCCUAAUAUUUCAGAAGCCAGCCAGAUGCAGCUGUGCUGGGAAAGACUAUUGUUGUUGCCUGCUGCUUAAUAUAUGGGUUGUGGUGUUGGAGUUCUGCUAAAAGGAACCGGUAAUGAACCGUAUGAUAAAUGCUCUGCUCUGUGUGAUGCCUUAUUUGACUUCUACACAACAACCUGUGUCAGAAAGAAAUAAAAGUGGAAAUGAGUGCCCCAGUCUUCCAAAUGCAUGAGCAGGAAGAGUGAAGUCUGAUCAAAGCAUUUCAGCUUUCUUGGUCUGUAUAUGAGAAGGUUUCCGCGGAAUACUUCUUGCUCGGCCAUCUCCGUUUCAGGCAGUCAGUUACUAGGAGUCGUCGGCGUGCGGCCGCCUGACGGCGCCUCCGCAGGCAAAGCUUUCCCUGCGCUUCGCCGCCAUGCUGCGGGGCGGGGGGAGGUGCCGCGCCGCGCCCCCGCCGGCCACUGGCCCGCCCUCCGUCGCGUGACCGGUUGCCACGGUAGCGGCGCGCGGC